AUCCCAUUAUGGGGACACUUCCGAAGCAUCUCCUUGUAGCGUUCCCAAGCUUCACAUAGAGUUUCAUCAGUCUGUUGAGAAAAUUGAGUGAUAGCAAUCCUGAUUGC
rfam:Daucus carota subsp. sativus cultivar DH1 chromosome 3, whole genome shotgun sequence.